CGGCGCUGCCUCCGGGCUCCCGAGUCGGGCCAGCUGCCGCCCGCUCGGCAGCAUCAAGAGCAUCAGUGCCCGAACUGGCGGACAGAGGAAAAUCAAGCCCCAGAAAACCCUCUGACAAGAGCAGCACCUGUUACUGGACCCACCUCACCGCAGAAAUUAAGGGUAAAAGACACACGCAGAUUACCUCUGCAGAGUGAGACUCAUCCACUGUCCUGCCCAAGAGGCUGAAUGUUAUUACACAGGAGCUACGAUUCUGCAAGUUCUGGUGUUCAAACUAGAAAAUGAAACCAUCAGCAUCCAGAGUACAGAUAAUAGCAGGAGAACAAAGAGCUCACACUCAAUUGAGGAUCCUUCAGGAAGUUGAGUGUUGACAUAGCCAGUUAAGGUGUUGUUAUGAGCACUUCUUUUGAAUGUGAAAAGCAGAGCAUUAGUAACAGUACAAAAUUUCUUAUUUCUUUUGUCUGAGCUCCAGAGUUACAUAUGCUAAAAGAACUUCUAAAUUCAAAGAUAUU